AGAGUUUGAUCCUGGCUCAGAUUGAACGCUGGCGGCAGGCCUAACACAUGCAAGUCGAGCGGAAACGAGUUAUCUGAACCUUCGGGGAACGAUAACGGCGUCGAGCGGCGGACGGGUGAGUAAUGCCUAGGAAAUUGCCCUGAUGUGGGGGAUAACCAUUGGAAACGAUGGCUAAUACCGCAUAAUGCCUACGGGCCAAAGAGGGGGACCUUCGGGCCUCUCGCGUCAGGAUAUGCCUAGGUGGGAUUAGCUAGUUGGUGAGGUAAUGGCUCACCAAGGCGACGAUCCCUAGCUGGUCUGAGAGGAUGAUCAGCCACACUGGAACUGAGACACGGUCCAGACUCCUACGGGAGGCAGCAGUGGGGAAUAUUGCACAAUGGGCGCAAGCCUGAUGCAGCCAUGCCGCGUGUGUGAAGAAGGCCUUCGGGUUGUAAAGCACUUUCAGUCGUGAGGAAGGUAGUGUAGUUAAUAGCUGCAUUAUUUGACGUUAGCGACAGAAGAAGCACCGGCUAACUCCGUGCCAGCAGCCGCGGUAAUACGGAGGGUGCGAGCGUUAAUCGGAAUUACUGGGCGUAAAGCGCAUGCAGGUGGUUUGUUAAGUCAGAUGUGAAAGCCCGGGGCUCAACCUCGGAAUAGCAUUUGAAACUGGCAGACUAGAGUACUGUAGAGGGGGGUAGAAUUUCAGGUGUAGCGGUGAAAUGCGUAGAGAUCUGAAGGAAUACCGGUGGCGAAGGCGGCCCCCUGGACAGAUACUGACACUCAGAUGCGAAAGCGUGGGGAGCAAACAGGAUUAGAUACCCUGGUAGUCCACGCCGUAAACGAUGUCUACUUGGAGGUUGUGGCCUUGAGCCGUGGCUUUCGGAGCUAACGCGUUAAGUAGACCGCCUGGGGAGUACGGUCGCAAGAUUAAAACUCAAAUGAAUUGACGGGGGCCCGCACAAGCGGUGGAGCAUGUGGUUUAAUUCGAUGCAACGCGAAGAACCUUACCUACUCUUGACAUCCAGAGAACUUUCCAGAGAUGGAUUGGUGCCUUCGGGAACUCUGAGACAGGUGCUGCAUGGCUGUCGUCAGCUCGUGUUGUGAAAUGUUGGGUUAAGUCCCGCAACGAGCGCAACCCUUAUCCUUGUUUGCCAGCGAGUAAUGUCGGGAACUCCAGGGAGACUGCCGGUGAUAAACCGGAGGAAGGUGGGGACGACGUCAAGUCAUCAUGGCCCUUACGAGUAGGGCUACACACGUGCUACAAUGGCGCAUACAGAGGGCAGCAAGCUAGCGAUAGUGAGCGAAUCCCAAAAAGUGCGUCGUAGUCCGGAUUGGAGUCUGCAACUCGACUCCAUGAAGUCGGAAUCGCUAGUAAUCGUGGAUCAGAAUGCCACGGUGAAUACGUUCCCGGGCCUUGUACACACCGCCCGUCACACCAUGGGAGUGGGCUGCAAAAGAAGUAGGUAGUUUAACCUUCGGGAGGACGCUUACCACUUUGUGGUUCAUGACUGGGGUGAAGUCGUAACAAGGUADC
rnacentral:rRNA from 2 species